rfam:Desulfotomaculum putei DSM 12395 genome assembly, contig: EJ51DRAFT_scaffold00019.19
UCCUCGAUAGCUCAAUGGUAGAGCAACCGGCUGUUAACCGGUAGGUUGCAGGUUCGAGUCCUGCUCGGGGAG